rnacentral:lncRNA from 1 species
UUUUUUAUUGUCAUGGGAAACAUAGUUUUAUUUAGAAUACACCUCUUUUGUGGUAUUCAUUCUGCAGCUCCCUAACCAGCGUGUUUGCCUCACGGGGAUCCUUAAUGAGAUCCCGGACAGACAUUUUAACCACCUGUGGGUAAUGCAGUAGGAAUGAUGGCUGUGGCGGGGUUCUCCGCUCCCGUUGUUCCUCCCUUUGGUGUAUUUUGGCUGCUGUCCCUGCUGCUUUCUGCUCCCUGUGCAGCCCUGAGGGCAGCCCAGGUGUUCCUAUGUUGAAGUGUAAUGACGUUGUCACCAACGUUGCUUGUUUUGAAGAGAAAUGAUCGUCCCUCAGGCUGGAAUUCGAAUUCAAUAACUGAAAAACAUGCCUUGUUUUAAAGCUCUGGUUGUCCUCGUAUAGCGGAGUCAGAGGGUGCUCCGUCCUGCCCAUCCCUGGGCUGCAGCCGGGUGUUUUUGCUGCUGUGACACCCACUAAGAACUGUAGGACUUGUUUAAAAUUAAUUGUUUGCUACAAAGUCACACGAAGUAUAUCCUGCACUGUUGAGUGGCCUCCUUGUUGCAUAUGAAAUGGCUAAAAAGCCUAAGGUUAGUGUGGUUUUGGUCUAAUCUACCUUGUGGAAUGAAUUUUUAAUUACUUAUUUCAGAAAAGCCAACAAAGCCAGGAAGAGGCCGUGCUUGUCUCUGCUGCACAGCUGUACUGUGUUAAGUUGUACGGAGCCACUUAACAAAUAUUCAAAUUAAUCAAUUAUUUUUUAAAUUUCCUUAAAUAUUAGACAUGUAACGGCAGAUUCGUGCAGCGAUGGAUGACUUCUCAUGAAGUAACACUGUGGUUAUCUGCUAUUGUCGUUGUACUUCAGAAAGGAUGGACGUGAGCUGCACAAAUCACCGGCGUUGUGGUGGAGUGGCUGUUGGUAUAUUUUAACACAUUGCUGCAAGGUGCUGUUCCAAACCUGCGUGUUUAUUUCUGUGGAGGUGAUGAGACUUUGGUAGAUCUGCUGUCCUGCCAUGUGCUGUAAAAGCAGCCUGUAGGAUUAGCAGAGCUGGUAAAAGACACUCCCCUGUCUAUGAAGAGAUAUGGCCACAAUGCUGCCUGCCUGGCUUUAUAAAGUUGGAUAUACCUUAUAACCCUAUAUAACUGUGUUUUUUAAUGUCUUAUGAAGUGGGAAUGUAAAAGAUGUUUGUUUGCCCCAAGUGGGAGCCUGUGGAUUUCUGCUGAUGUCUCUGUGAUGGUUGAAACAGCUGGUAAUAUUUAAUGAACUCUAUCUCCAUGUGUUUACAAAUAAAGAUUUCAGAAAUCACAUUCUGGUGAUGAUGCUGUAUGUGCCUCCAAAAGCGUGUUAACGU